AAAGAAGCAGCACCUUGGGCUCAAUCUAUGUGAAAGUUCUUGGACAAGAGAUUUAUUUUGCAAAUGUCAACAAAGCUGUUCUUGAACAGGCAACACAGCUUACUACUGGAGGCAAUAUACCUGAGUUUGCAGGGGAAGCUCUUAAAGCAAAACAGAAUGGUACUGGCCUCCAGUAUGCCAAGCCCCUACUGGUGGCUGAAUUGCAUUACAUCUUCCCAUCAGUGGCUGGUGUACCCAUGGAGUACAGUUUUUGUGCUGCUGCAGUGGCUGCUGGUAAUUAGAAGGUCCAGGCUAUUAUUACACCAC